rnacentral:rRNA from 1 species
UACGUAGGGUGCGAGCGUUAAUCGGAAUUACUGGGCGUAAAGCGUGCGCAGGCGGUGAUGUAAGACAGGUGUGAAAUCCUGGAGCUCAACUCCAGAACUGCCUUCGAUACUGGAGAGCUUGAGUCCGGGAGAGGUGAGUGGAACUGCGAGUGUAGAGGUGGAAUGCGCAGAUAUCAGGAAGAACACCCGUGGCGAAGGCGGCUCUCUGGGACGGUACUGACGCUGAGACGCGAAAGCGUGGGGAGCGAACAGG